UUUAUUGAAACUUAAAUAAUUUGGCGGUAUUUUAGUUCAUUUAGAGGAAUCUGUUUAAUAAUUGAUAUUCCACGAAUAAAUUUACUUAAUUUAUGAUUUUGUAUAUCGUUGUUAUAAAAAUAUUUUUUAAUAAAAUUAAUAUUUAAAAAUUAAUAUUAAAAUUUAAAUCAAAUCAAGAUGCAGAUUAUAAUUAAGAAUAUAAUGGAUUACAAUAAAUUUAUUUAAGUGAAUUUUAAUUUGUAAUAAUUAUUUGAAAUUGGAUUUAAAUGUAAUUUUAUUUAAUUUAAUAAAAUGAUUAAAAAUUAAAAUAUGU
rnacentral:rRNA from 1 species